AAUUUCAUAGCUCAAGAGGUUAGAGUAUCGACCUGAUACGUCGAAGGUUGAAAGUUCGAUUCUUUCUGAGAUUACAA
rnacentral:tRNA from 1 species